rfam:Myotis lucifugus cont2.26248, whole genome shotgun sequence.
GCUGGUGUGGCUCAGUGGUAGAGCAUCAGCCGAUGAAGGGAAGGGUUUCUGGUUCGAUUUCCAGGCAAAGGCA